rnacentral:lncRNA from 1 species
GAAACAUUGAACAACUUGUACCUUGAAUUUUAGCUCGACACGAAAUAUUAUGCAUGUAUAUAAAAGUGUAAAUAUGGAAUUAUCAGCUCAUGGUAUGUUAAUUAAUUGUUAAUAGUUAUAUGUUGUUAUUAAAAUAUCCAAUGUUUUUUUCGUGUGUAUUUUUAGCUUCAUACUCAACAAAGUACACAUGAGUGUACAUGUGUUCUGUGGAAUAUAACUUUUGUACAGCACACCAUAUCAUCAAGGUUCAAGUUACAUGUUAUUAACCAAAUAAUAUAAAAACAAGUUUUGCCCAUUUUCAGAAACUAUUACAUUUUGCAGAUACUUAUGAGUUCACUUGAGCAGCUCCCCUGAAGGUCUGGAGAAAAACCAAUCAAUCAGACACAAUAAAAUGUUAUACUUUAGAAAGUAUUCUCGAAAACUGUCUAACUGAAGACGAAACUGUUACAAUUUCAAAGCAAAUUAUCAAUUCAAUGUUUAGGGAAACAAGUACUUAGUGUAAGGCAUUCGAAUGUUGGAGGGACUUAACUCAAAUUACAUUCAAUCAAUCAAUCAUUUAAUCAUUCAAUAAAAUAGAUUAUGUUUAUCUAAUCAUUACUAAUCAUUAAAAUACAUUUUUUAUGGAGAACCGAUAAAAACAGAUUAGGCAUAUCACGGAAUUAUACCUUGCAAUCGAUGUCUAAGAUCUCUCGCAAUAACCACUUUUGUGUUUGAAGACAAUUUUAUGAAACUGUACAAAAUGCUAGCCAAUAUGUUGCCAUAUAAAUCACAUGAAAAUUAAAAAUAAUCGGAUAAUAUUUAGGUACUCCAUAUUUCAUUAUGAGGUAUUAAAAGUUUCGAACUUCUUUCAUUUUAAACAACUGCUUCUGGGUUAUCGGCGUUGUUAAAAUAUUUAAAAGAUUCGGUUUGCUUUGGUUCGAUUAGGAUCGAUUAAGAUUUGGGUUUGCACUUUCGGCCAAACCAUUUUGCGACUUCAUCUCAAUC